AAUUCUCAACUAUACAAGUUUUUGAAACCUGUAUAGCUUGGAUCUUGGGAUCUGUGGGCUUUUACCAGCCGGCUAUCCUCAAAUGCAUUAGCAGAGCUUUUGCCGCUAACCUAUGGUGUGAUAAUUAUCUACGCCAUCGAGAGGCGACAUAUUGAAGCUACGCUUCUAAUCGUCCUUUGGGACAAUUAUUGACA
rnacentral:misc_RNA from 1 species